UACGUAGGGGGCUAGCGUUGUCCGGAAUCAUUGGGCGUAAAGAGCGCAUAGGCGGCUAGAUAAGUCCGGUGUGAAAGUCACAGGCUCAACCUGUGAAUGCCGCUGGAAACUGUCUGGCUAGAGUCCGGAAGGGGCGAGUGGAAUUCCUGGUGUAGCGGUGAAAUGCGCAGAUAUCAGGAGGAACACCAAUGGCGAAGGCAGCUCGCUGGGACGGUACUGACGCUGAGGCGCGAAAGCGUGGGGAGCAAACAGG
rnacentral:rRNA from 1 species